AGAAGAUAUUGACAUUCUUUUUCUUUCAGGGGAAUGAAGGAAGCAAAUAAUGAUUGUAUUCAGUUUUUAGUUCUGAGUAGUGGUUCUAUGAGAAAAACUGAGUAUACAGAUAAUCAAUGUUUAGAAAAAAAUUCUAUAAAUCAAGCAAAUGUGAGCAACAUUAUAUAUACAGACAAGUAAAAGGUGCAUGAUCGUACUUGCUCUUAUUGAAGUAUAACCUGUGUUUGGUUUCAGUAUAGAACCCAGAAGGAACAUACCAAAGUAAAACUUUUAACAGGAAUAUUCAAAAAAAUGACUUGCAUCUCCUUGUAGUGGUAGA